rnacentral:lncRNA from 1 species
GACCCUAUUUUCUAACUUGAACCCCCGUCGGAGCCCGAGCUUUUCAAAUUAAAGCGUUCAGGGGCUUUGUCGAUUUUUCAGAAAUACCUUAUUAUGUUGGUGGUAUUUGUCUGCUUUGGUGUUCCGUUGUUUGCCGAUUUAAUUCGGUAAUUAAACGAAGUAGCCUCCCAAAAAUGUAUAACUGCAACAUAGAAUUGGCCUCAGAUUUCUCAUUUUCUCUCAGAUAUCCCAGGAAUAUCUUUCACGGUGAUCCUGUCAGUCAUCCUAUUGGAAAUAUUUUGUAUGAACUGAAAAUGUUGGGAACAUAAUACGAAAAGGACUAAAAAUUCAUUACUCCACUAAAGAUAAACAAGUAUAGGAAGCAUAACCAAAGAUGAAGUGUUAGUUAGUUCUACGCUCAAUAGUCGAAAAAAAUACGCAAUUCUGGUUUUGAGCAAGAAAUAUUUCCCAAACCCGAAAAAAAAAUUUUAUACGACUUUUGAGCAUUACAAAAUAGACAAAACUAGUUUUGCGCAAUUUAAAAUGCACAGAACUAGUUUUGAAUAUUUCUAAAUGACCAGCUAUAAUUCUGCUUUUUUUAUUCAAUUAUCGCCAGCAUCGGAAUAAACUAGAUAUAAAGUUGGAGAUUGUAUAUAAAUUUAUUUUAUUUAAAUUAAAAAUAUUGUAACAAAUACAAAAUCAAAUAAAUAAUUAUUCUUUGGUAAGUAUUCAGUUAAUUUAAAAAUAUUAUUUAUUUAAACAAGAGCUUGAAUGAUGACAUUUAAAAUUACAGAGGACAUUUUUCUUUUGACAAGAGCAUGAUCAGCUAAUACACUUUUUCAUGCAUAUACAUAAAAUAAAUCCUUGUUUAGACCCUGAUAUAUUGGAUGAUGCUGUUCUAAGUGAUAUUUCUUUGUCGUUCUUGGCUCCAAAAUUGUUGUUCUCUAUAAAAAUAUUAUUAUUAGCCAACUGAAACUCGUUUCUACAAAAAUGUUUUUGUAAAAUUCCAGACUUUGUUGCUAAUUUGUAAAACCCAUUAUCAAUUGAUUUAACAACUGCCACUACAUUUCGUGGUGCUAAUCUGCCACGAUCCACGUCUGGUAUGCGUAUAAGGAUAUUGUCGCCAACUGAGGCUGGUUAAAAUUUUUUAUUUGAUUGUGCGAGCAUUAAAUUGGCUUAUACUUCCAAACCUCUUUUAGCGUUUUCACAAUUCGUAAUUAUAUCGCAGGAACGUUGACAAAGAAAACAUUGAAACUCUAAUUCCAAUUCGUUGUUAACUUUUAAAAUACUGCCUGCUGCAUGAAUUUUUCCUUUGCACUUUGAGCAAUUUUCCACGAUGGUGUUAGGCUUUUGACACACAGUACAUAACGAAAGUUUAUUUUCGUUUCUCGUCUUUUCAAUGGCUAUAUUAACUUUAGAAGUUUCUUCUUCUUCUUUUUCUCUAUCUUGAACAAAAUCCUGCACUUCACUAUCCGCCAUAUUUUUUAAAUCGAUAAUAGAAAGUUGCACUUCGGUAUCAUCCAUAUUAUCCUUAUUGACUAUAAAAUCUUGCUUGCACUUUACUAUUUGCCAUAUUUUCCCUAUGAAUCAUAGAAACUUGCACGUCAUCUUCAACUGUUUCGGUUUCAUCUAUAGAUCCUAUAGUAUUUUGAAGUUUGUUGCUUUCAUUUAACAGUUUUUCGAGAUCGUCUUCAGUUUCCAAAGAAGGAACUAAAUCUUGGAGCAAGUCAGUAUCCUUUAAACUAUUUCUUUGAGCGCAACCAAACAUAGCCUCGUAUGGAGAUCGCUUAAUUGCACUGUGGUAGCUUCUAUUUUUUAUUGACUGUACGAAACACAGUCCAUCGGCCCAGUGUUUUGUAUUUUCAUCUGACAUCCAACACAUAAGAGCAUAUCGCACAUCUCUGUUACACCGUUCCACAGAACCUUGACUCUGUGAGUGGCGCAGUUUUCCAUGAACGAUUUUCAAAUGUGGCCACUGGCAUUUUAAAUUAUCAAUGACCUGAUUGGAAAAUUCACGGCCAUUAUCAGAAUGAAGUAUUGACGGAGCUCCAAAUAAACAAAAAAUUUCUAUUAGGUUUCUGGCAGUUUCUACAGCAGUUUUACUUUUCAUUGGGCGUAGAACACAAAACUUAGUCAAAUGGUCUUGAUAGUUCAAGAUGAAUUUGUAGUCUCCAUCUGGGUCGAUCUGCAUAUCAAUAAAAUCAACUUGGCACCGAGAAUUCAUUAGUUUACCUAAAAUAGGCUUAACAACGAUUCCCUUUCUAGGUGCCGUUUUUUUCAGUUGACAUAUUUCACACAGAUUUGGGUCUAUAUUAAUAGUUUCUCUAGUAAUGUUUGCGUAUUUUUUCUUUAACUCUUCUUCCAAUGCUGAAACAAAGUGCAUGCGUUAUAAAAAAAUUCUAGAUUGAGGUCUAACGUGCCGGUACCGGUAUCCGAAUAAAUCCCGGUAAUAAGACGUUAAACCAAUAACCUAAUUAUUAGUUUAUUGGUUGCUAAUAAUUUUAACUAACCUUAUAAGUUAUUGUUAAUUCUUGUCGUUAUCCUACAAUUUCCUGGCAUUUGUUUGGAUACCGGUAGCGGGAGGCAUAUUUACUAAAUUAAUUUAAUAUUGUACAACUCAAGUACCGCCUGGAUGCACCAUAGCGUGCCGUCCCAUUGGCUAGACAAGCCGUUAAAAACAGCUACAUAUGUCAGGAUUCUAUUGGGUGAUUUAGUUUAUAAAUUAGUUUGUGUUAUUCCAGGUUGGUUUUGAUUAGCAGUUAGUUUUUUUUGAUUAUUCGACACGCUAAAUCAAAACAAACCAUAUCAAACCAACUUAAGGUAAUCAAACUAACCUGAACUAACCCAAACUAAUUUGUAAACUAAACCAGCCAAUAGGAUCCUGAAAUAUGUAGCUGUUUUUAACGGCUUGUCUAGACGGGGCGGUACUUGCAUUGUAAAAUAUUAGCAUUAGAUUUAGUAAAUAAUUAGUGUUGUUCCGAGACAUACCUUUAUGCCGUUUAUGACUCGUAGAAAUAUGUGCCUGGUCAACGAUAGGAAACACUUCAUCCGUGGAAACAAAAUAUAGUAUGGCAUCAGAAUCUUCUUGGCGUUUUUUAAUUAACUUUUCCACGCCAUUUAUACUUAUUAUAUCAAAACGCUUUAUUCUUCUGUACUGUUUAGCAGAUAGGGGUUUUGAUUGGGCUUUGCACAAAUUUGCGUCCUUUACAUCAUUAGGUAUAGCGAGGUAUUGAUCUUUCCCCAUAAGAUUAUGUUUUUGAGUACCUGAAGCCUCCAAUAACCGAACUAAUUGUAACUGGAAUUCAGCUCGCAUUUUUAUAGAGGUAAAUGGUUAAAUAUCGUACUUGAAAUAAUUGUGAUAUUUAUAAUUUCACGAGCACAAACGAAAUAAAUUCAAAACAACAACAUAAACAUAACCCUACUUUUUAGCUGGGUUUGGGAGGCUGCAAAAUAAGCAAAACAAGUGCUGAUAACAUAGAAAUAUACAGAAUAAAAACUAAAAUUGCGUAUAUUUUUCAGGCAAUGCCCGAAUUCGACUAUUGAGUGUAACAUAUACAACACCUCCAAUACCUUCUAUGAUGUAUACAAAAAAAAACGACAUAAUAUUCAAAAAGGGAAAACGACUUUAAUAGGAAUAUUAAGAUAGUUGCAUCUUCAAUAUAAUAUAGCACUGUCUGAUAAGG